rnacentral:lncRNA from 1 species
GUAGAUAGACCUAUAAGAAAUGCUAAGUAGAGUACUACUUGGUGGUCUAGCUUUUUCUUUUAAUAAAGCUGCUCUUGGAGUUUUCCUCUUGCCCCCCAAUCCCCUCCAUGAAAACUAUGUACCUGAAUUCAGCUGCUCGAGUAUAUACGAAGAAGAUAACAAGAUUCUGUUCCAUCUCCUUAAUUCCCACUCACAACACAACACGUUCAUGACAUUUCUGCUUCCCAGUCCCCAUUAUCUUGGUUAUGAAUCAUCUCUCGUGUAUAAUAAAAUUAUGUUGGAACUUGUGUAGUCAAUAUGUUAAAAAUAUAAAAAAUUGUUACUUUUAAUACAAUUUUUUUU